GACGAACGCUGGCGGCGUGCUUAACACAUGCAAGUCGAACGGAAAGGCCCUGCUUUUGUGGGGUGCUCGAGUGGCGAACGGGUGAGUAACACGUGAGUAACCUGCCCUUGACUUUGGGAUAACUUCAGGAAACUGGGGCUAAUACCGGAUAGGAGCUCCUGCUGCAUGGUGGGGGUUGGAAAGUUUCGGCGGUUGGGGAUGGACUCGCGGCUUAUCAGCUUGUUGGUGGGGUAGUGGCUUACGAAGGGUUUGACGGGUAGCCGGCCUGAGAGGGUGACCGGCCACAAUGGGACUGAGAUACGGACCAGACUCCUACGGGAGGCAGCAGUGGGGAGUAUUGCACAAUGGGCGGAAGCCUGAUGCAGCAACGCCGCGUGCGGGAUGACGGCCUUCGGGUUGUAAACCGCUUUCGCCUGUGACGAAGCGUGAGUGACGGUAAUGGGUAAAGAAGCACCGGCUAACUACGUG
rnacentral:rRNA from 1 species